rnacentral:rRNA from 1 species
UACGAAGGGGGCUAGCGUUGUUCGGAAUCACUGGGCGUAAAGGGCGCGUAGGCGGCCGAUCAAGUCGGGGGUGAAAGCCUGUGGCUCAACCACAGAAUUGCCUUCGAUACUGUUUGGCUUGAGACCGGAAGAGGUUAGUGGAACUGCGAGUGUAGAGGUGAAAUUCGUAGAUAUUCGUAAGAACACCAGUGGCGAAGGCGGCUGACUGGUCCGGUUCUGACGCUGAGGCGCGAAAGCGUGGGGAGCAAACAGG